UACGUAGGGGGCGAGCGUUGUCCGGAUUUAUUGGGCGUAAAAGGCUUGUAGGUGGCCACGUCAAGUCGGAUGUGAAAUCUCCCGGCUCAACUGGGAGGGGUCAUUCGAUACUGGCGGGCUCGAGGCCGGUAGGGGGAAGCGGAAUUCCCGGUGUAGUGGUGGAAUGCGUAGAUAUCGGGAGGAACACCAGUGGCGAAGGCGGCUCCUGGACCGGUUCUGACACUGAGGAGCGAAAGCGUGGGGAGCGAUCCGG
rnacentral:rRNA from 1 species